rnacentral:tRNA from 1 species
UCCGGAGUAGCUCAGCGGUAGAGCGGCCGCCUGUUAAGCGGUUGGUCACAGGUUC